rnacentral:lncRNA from 1 species
CGGAACUCGCGGCGGGGCUGCUGGGUCUUCCAGGAGCGCGCUUGAGCGGACGCUGCCUACCGGUGGCCGGGCGGGAUGUAACCCGCUGCUGAGCUGGCAGCUCUGUGUCGCUAGGCUUCGGCCCGGCCGCCGCCGCACAUAAGCUGCGAGGAGGAGCUUUACGACUUCCCGGUCUUCGGGGCCGGGCGCAGCAAGGGCCAGACUCUGCGCUAGCAGGCGCUGCGCGCCAACCGGCCGGCACCUGUCGCAGAAGGUGCAACCGAUCGCACUGUCGCGCCGAAGCUCCUCAAUGGCCAGCGCCAGCUGCAGCCCCGGCCGCCCACUCGCCUCACCUGAGCCUGGGAGCUUGAAAAAUCACAUUUGAGAAGAGGAUUGGAUCCUAGCCAUAACAUAAAUAUAAGGGUGGAACCAAAGUUUUAAUCAAAGAAGGUGGUGUUCAGUUGCUGCUUACAAUAGUUGAUACCCCAGGAUUUGGAGAUGCAGUGGAUAACAGUAAUUGCUGGCAGCCUGUUAUCAAUUACAUUGAUAUUAAAUUUGAGGACUACCUAAAUGCAGAAUCGCGAGUGAACAGAUGUCAGAUGCCUGGUAACAGGGUGCAGUGUUGUUUAUACUUCAUUGCUCCUUCAGGACAUGGACCAUUACAUAACUGAAGACUCCCACCUUCAGGCAGGAUUGGGUAGUACGUGUUUGUAACUACCUGGCAUUGCCUUUUGUUGAGGUUAGAUCUUGGGACAGCCCACAUACCUAGACAAACUUAGGCUUUCCAGCUUGCACUGGACCAGGGUGGAAAGGAAGGGUAGAUGUCUACCCAAAUGGAAUAUUGAGUAUCAGAGACUUCAAAUGAUAACUUUUGUUUGUUUGGAGAAAAUCUUGAGGACGUGAUCACUGUACAAAAGCAUGGCAAAAUGAGGAAACCACUGACAGGUGAAGAAUUUGCACAAUGGAAAACCACCUUGACCAUCUCAUGACUUUAUACAGGAAUCGGAGACAUCCAAGGCCAUUCCAUUUCUAAAUCACACUUAUCCCUCAAUCAAGUCAGUGACUGGAUCAUCUCCUAAGGUUUCACCUGCUUUGCAUCAGGGCAGGGUUCCACUCCCAUUGCCCAGGCUGGAGUGCAGUGGCGUGAUCUUGGCUCACUGCAACCCCCUCCUCCCCUAUUCAAGCAAUUCUUCUGCCUCAGUCUUCUAAGUGGCUGGGACUACAAGCGCGUGCCACCACACCCGCGCUUAUAAUAGAAAAUAAUUUUUCUGUUUUUUUGUAGGGAUGGGGUUUCACCAUGUUGGCCAGGCUGGCCUCGAACUCCUGAGCUCAAGUGAUCAACCUGCCUCUGCCUCCCAAAGUGCUGGGAUUACAGGUGUAAGCCACCAUGCCCGGCCUCUGAUUUUUCUAUAGUGAGAACAUAACUAUUUCUGUAAUAAUAUUAAAAAUACUUGUCAGUAUCACAUAGAAUUUUCAACAGCAGAUUCAAAUAAAAUGAAUCCUUGUGUGUGUGUAUAUAUAUAUAUAUAAAUGUAGAAGGAUAACAUCUA